rnacentral:rRNA from 1 species
CGGAUUAGAUACCCUGGUAGUCCACGCCCUAAACGAUGUCGACUGGGUGUUGGGGAGGCGAUUUCCCAGUACCGUAGCUAACGCGUGAAGUCGACCGCCUGGGGAGUACGGCCGCAAGGUUAAAACUCAAAGGAAUUGACGGGGACCCGCACAAGCGGUGGAUGAUGUGGAUUAAUUCGAUGCAACGCGAACAACCUUACCUACCCUUGACAUGUCCGGAAGCCCGCUGAGAGGCGGGGGUGCCCGAAAGGGAACCGGGACACAGGUGCUGCAUGGCUGUCGUCAGCUCGUGUCGUGAGAUGUUGGGUUAAGUCCCGCAACGAGCGCAACCCUUGUCCCUAGUUGCUACGCAAGGGCACUCUAGGGAGACUGCCGGUGACAAACCGGAGGAAGGUGGGGAUGACGUCAAGUCCUCAUGGCCCUUAUGGGUAGGGCUUCACACGUCAUACAAUGGCCGGUACAGAGGGUUGCCAAGCCGCGAGGCGGAGCCAAUCCCCACAAAAGCCGGUCGUAGUCCGGAUUGCAGUCUGCAACUCGACUGCAUGAAGUCGGAAUCGCUAGUAAUCGCGGAUCAGCAUGUCGCGGUGAAUACGUUCCCGGGUCUUGUACACACCGCCCGUCACACCAUGGGAGUGGGUUCUACCGGAAGUAGGUAGGCUAACCGCAAGGAGGCCGCUUACCACGGUAGGAUUCAUGACUGGGGUGAAGUCGUAACAAG